rnacentral:lncRNA from 1 species
CAAUCUCCAACCUGAACAGGGCAACUGGGCAAAACUCCCGAAUGUCCAAAGAAUGACCGGGUACAACAACUCAUCCCGGAUGCAACAAGGAUACAAGUGGGAUGCCAUGCAGCUCAGCAAACAGUCGGUCUAUAAAUGAAUGCGAUGCACCGGUAUCAAAUAAUGCUCUAACUCGAAUACCGUAAAGUAAAAUGAUACCUGCGACCACAUUCUCGGCUGCCGCCGCCUCCUCAGUCUGGGCCGCAUACAUGCGCCCGCUCGGGGCCUGUCGUGACCCCUCCGUCUGCCGCGAAACUGGCGGCCGCCCAGCCUGGUGAUGCGCAGAAGAUGUCCCCUGACUGGGACCGGGCGAUGCUGGUGCGGAUGCCGAAGAUGGCGCUGGCGCUGGGCCCCUCGGACAGUCCGACUGGAAGUGGCCCUCCUGGCCACACAAGAAGCACCUGCCCCUGCUGCGUGAACACUGCCGUGGGUAGUGAGGACGCUCACAGAUCACGCACUGGAGAGCCGGCGACUGAUCGGUGGGUAUGGAUCAAGGACUAAAAAGGUAAGUAAACCUAAAAGGGGUAAUAGAGUGAAAUCCGGCAAACUCGAAAAACUCGAUGCAACAAAAAGAAAGUAGCGGAAUUAAACAGCAACCGAGAAUUUUAACGUGGGAAAACUCAAAUCGGAGGUGAAAACCAGGGACCGAUCACGCAAAAAAACCAUAAGAAAACUGAAGUACAAGUGAUUUCGACGAAAAUACUACGCUCAAUUUACCGUUUCUAUUUGACGAUGAUCUUUGCCGGCUCCUCGAUGAUGAGAAUCCACGCAUCGACCUGCUGCAACUCCAGCAGCGUCACGCUCAACUGCCUCGACAGCGUCACCGAAUCUCGCUUCACGGCAGAUCCACGCGCGACUCUCUUCGGGAGCUUGUAGAAUCGAAUAGUUUGUGGUGAUUUCAAACUUUGAAAACAAUUAAGCUUGGGAGUUCACCUUUUAUCAACAUCUAAGAUUCCGGUAAGAAAUGAUUGGUAACAACGAAUAAUAAGCGAUGUUGAUUGCUCAGAAACGUGUUAUUAAAUAUAAGCAUUGAACCGGAGAGAAAUAAGUUUCUAGGGUUUAGAUUGGUAAAUAUUCAAGAGCCUAACUUUUAGAUACCCAUAGCUACUAUAUGUUUAGAGACUUAGAAUAGCUAGGAUGCUAAAAAGUAAGUUUUUUCAAAAACCUGUGUCGUCCUCAGAGACCGGUCUUCUCGAGGAGACCGGUCUGUGAGAGACCGGUCUCUCAAGUGAGAAAUCGGUCCCUCACUGCGUGAUCAAAAACCCAACGUUCGGGAAUCGGUCUCUCAAAUUUGAGACCGGUCCCUCGCUGCGCGACAGAAACAUCAUAGUUCGGGAACCGGUCUCUCAUCACAGGGGACCGGUUGCAUCAAGGUUCACGCAGUGAGGACCUUAGGGGAACCGGUCUCUCCAUUUCAGGGACUGGUCCCAGAACACAUGAAAGUUCAGAAAAAUUAUUUUAAAAUAAUCUAAGCCUUCUGAACUUAUUCUAAUUAGGUAUCUUCACCACAAAUGAUCUUUUCUUCAUACCUUAGGUGUCGAGCUUUCCGAAUGAGUCUUCGUUCUCCAAUUUUAAUAACUUCUGCGAUCAACUCUUCAAGACUCCAAACAACUUUACGAAAUUCGCCAACCUAUAAAAUCCUUAACAAUCGGGUCCUCCUCGCUGAGUAGAUUGGCCACGUCGUCGCGACUGGCUCCGACUCCUGGGAUGCCUUGGCGGCCUCCGUGAGUGUGUCUGGCUCGCACCCUCAGCCGCGGGCCUCUUUCCCUUGCCCUUGUCUAGGGCCUCGCGUCGCUCCUGAAGGUCUGCCGCUCCAGCCUCCACAAUGAGUGCACGGUCCACAACCUCCCGGUAGGUUUGGAGGUUGGAGGACUGCACCAACCGAAAGAUCGAAGGCCGCAAUCCACGCUAAAAAAUGCGGGCCUUGUCCUCAUCGUCCCUCACAACAAAUGGUACACAGUGAAGUAGCCAGGAGAACUCCCUCUCGUACUAGGCCACUGACCGCUCGUCCUGGCGCAAGCUGCGCAAAUCCUGCUCCAUCUUCCUCUUGGCGCUGGUCGGGAAGUAGUACGCCAGAAGGAGCUCCUUGAACCUCGUCCAAGUAAUCGCUGUCAAGUCGGUGCUGGGGUUGUCCUGGAUAUCCAGCCACCAACGAUAGGCCUCGCCGUCCAGAAAGUGAGUGGCGAGCCAAACCCUGUCCCUCUCCUCAAUGAAGGUAUCUCGAAAUAGCUUCUCCAUAUGCAUCAACCACUUCUCAACAAUCCAGUGGUCGACGUUCUCGCCAUCGAAGAUCCUUGGGCUGCACCUCCUAAGCUCACUGAGGCGAUCCAUGAACCAAUCCCGCUCGGCUCCCUCGGCCAUCACAGGGAAAGCUGCCCUCGCCGCGGGUAUCUGAACCGGUGGUGCUGCGACCACUUCCUCCCGAGGUGCGGUUGCUGGUGCCGCACGGGAAGAACUGGGUGCGGGGGAUUGCGCCCUCGGCGCGACGUCCACUACGGGUGCUCGCGGUGUGGGGACCUGAGUCUCCCUAGAAGCUGCUGCCUGCUGUAGCAAGAGAUCCUCCAGAUGCUUCAUCCGCGCCUCCUGCUGUUGUGCCAUCUCGGCCUGUCGCUGAGCAGCCGCCGCCUGCUGUGCUACAAGGUCAGUGAGGACUGCAAGCUGGGACCUCAAGUCGCGGACCUUGCUGGAUCCGGAAGUCGCGGAGGUUUCGACCUCCUCGAGGGGUGCCGCAUUGUCCGCUCCGGCAGAUUGGGAGCGAGUAAUCGGCAUGUCACUACAGAACAUAGAAGUGCAAGUUAGUAACCCGCACUAUCGAAUCCCCGCUCAAUUAACAAAACCCAAAUCACGCGAAAGUAAAAAAGUGUUAUCCACAACUAACUCCCGAUAUUAUGUUGUCGGCCGCCAAUAGGGAUGCAAACGGGGCGGAUCCGGGGGCGGGAGAGUUUCCCCACCUCCCGCUCCAUUUCUUAUCGAGGUGGGGCGGAUUCGGGGCGGGUUACUUUUCAUUUUAUUUUUGGCUCCCACUUACCGCUCCAUUCGGGGCGGAUCGGGGCGGGAGCCGGAUUUUUGACGGAUCGGGGCGGAUUGAAGUAAGAAAAGAGUCUCCCACCUCCCGCUCCAUUUACUUGGCUGAUCGGGGCGGAUUCGNAUCUUGGAAUAUACACAAGAUCCCUGGAGUUGAUCAAAUAGAUCAUCAAUCCUCGGUAAUGGAUACUUGUUCUUGAUCGUGACCUUGUUAAGUUCACGAUAAUCCACGCACAAACGAAGUGAUCCAUCAUUUUUCUUCACAAACAGAACCGGUGCUCCCCAAGGUGACGCACUCGGUCGCACAAAACCCUUGUCCAGAAGAUCUUGUAACUGUGCCUUCAGCUCCUUCAAUUCUGCUGGUGCCAUCCUAUAGGGUGCCUUUGAGAUUGGAGUAGUCCCGGGAACGAGAUCUACCACAAACUCAAUCUCCCUAUCAGGUGGCAUGCCUGGAAGCUCCGCUGGGAACACAUCUCCAAACUCCCGCACUACGGGAAUGUCCUCAAUCCUAGGGACGUCAUCCUCACCCCGCAACACAACAGUAGCCAAGUAGGCCACACAGCCUCUACUAAUCAACUGCCGAGCUCGAGAAGAGCUAAUCGUCAUCGCAAACAGCGAACUCUGGCAUCCUCGGUACACAACCUCCGCCUACCCCGGCUCUCUAAACGUCACCGUUCGAUUCUUGCAAUCAAUGGUGGUGUAGUACUUGGUCAACCAAUCCAUGCCCAACACAACAUCAAACUCCCCGAGUUUAUGCAAAGCUAGCAAGUCCACGGGCAUCAUCCAAUCUCCAACCUGAACAGGGCAACUGGGCAAAACUCCCGAAUGUCCAAAGAAUGACCGGGUACAACAACUCAUCCCGGAUGCAACAAGGAUACAAGUGGGAUGCCAUGCAGCUCAGCAAACAGUCGGUCUAUAAAUGAAUGCGAUGCACCGGUAUCAAAUAAUGCUCUAACUCGAAUACCGUAAAGUAAAAUGAUACCUGCGACCACAUUCUCGGCUGCCGCCGCCUCCUCAGUCUGGGCCGCAUACAUACGCCGACUCGGGGCCUGUCGUGACCCGUCCCCCUGCCGCUGAACUGGCGGUCGUCCUGCCUGGUGAUGCGUAGAAGAUGUCCCCUGACUGGGACCUGGCGACGCUGGUGCAGAUGCCGAAGAUGGCGCUGGCGCUGAACCUCUCGGGCAGUCCGACUGGAAGUGGCCCUCCUGGCCACACAAGAAGCACCUGCCCCUGCUGCGUGAACACUGCCGUGGGUAGUGAGGACCGCCACAGAUCACGCAGCGGAGAGCCUGGCGACGAUCGGUGUGAGAUAUGGAUCCCAAGGAUCUAAAAGGUAAGUAACACCUAAAGGGGGGUGAAUAGGUGUAAAUCCGGCAAACUCGAAAAACUCGAUGCAAACAAAAGAAAGUAGCGGAAAUUAAAACAGCACACCGAGAAUUUAACGUGGGAAAACUCCAAAUCGGAGUGAAAAACCCAUGGGACCGAUCACGCAAAGAAAAACCACUAAGAAAACUUGAGUACAAGUGAUUUCGACGAAAAUACACGACUCAAUUUACCGAUUUCUUGUUGACGAUGAUCUUUGCCGGUCCUCGAUCGAUAGGAAUCCACCAAUC